rnacentral:rRNA from 1 species
GUAAGGAAUAUUGGUCAAUGGGGGCAACCCUGAACCAGCCAUGCCGCGUGAAGGAUGAAGGCGUUAUGCGUUGUAAACUUCUUUUGUAUGGGAAGAAUGAUAGGGAUUUAUCCUUGGAGAGACGGUACCAUACGAAUAAGCACCGGCUAACUCCGUGCCAGCAGCCGCGGUAAUACGGAGGGUGCAAGCGUUAUCCGGAAUCACUGGGUUUAAAGGGUACGUAGGCGGUUAAUUAAGUCAGUAGUGAAAGACUGUCGCUCAACGACGGAUGUGCUAUUGAUACUGGUUAACUUGAAUCAGGUUAGAGUUGGCGGAAUGGGUCAUGUAGCGGUGAAAUGCUUAGAUAUGGCACAGAACACCAAUUGCGAAGGCAGCUCACUAAGGCGAUACUGACGCUGAGGCACGAAAGCGUGGGGAUCGAACAGGAUUAGAAACCCGAGUAGUCC